UGUCAAAAAUUACAUAAGUGUCAAAUUGUCAGACGUUUCAUCAAAAUUCAUGGUGCCAUGUCACGAGAAAAGUAGCCGCAAUGGCAUACACCAACGUCGAGUUGCUUCUCGUCGUCAACUUCCUGCACGUCAUAUCAUACGCUAUAAUAGUACCCAUUCUUCCGUACUAUUUCAGGACGCGCGAUGCAACCUAUUCCAUGAUCGGAAUCCUCUGCGCUUGCGUUUUUAUCGGCCGCAGCGUAAAUAAGGAACUACUCGCGCUUUUACCCAACGGGAAAAAAUACACCAUAGCGACUUGUCUGUACCUCACUUUCGUCUACUAUUUCAUUAUGGUGUUUUACGACGAUUUGGUAACAAGUUUCAUCGUCAAGUUCCUGUUUGCGCUUACUAUAGACAUUGUGUACACAUCUAAAGAGUUUGUAACAAGAAGUGAGCCAGAAGACCACCAUUACCAGAUUUGUAACUUGAUAGAGUUGACCAAGUAUUGCGCUUUAAUCGUGGGGGCGGUUUUAGGCUCGUACAUCUACUCACACAGUUCGAAUUCGUCGUCGAAUUUUAUCAUUUCGAGCUGCCUUGCACUAGUUUGUAUUCUGAUAUUGCAACGCGUUGAUAGCGAUGAUUCCGCUAUGGAAAAGCGUCCCUCGGAGCUUUUUUCGCUGUCAGAACUUUGUAAAAGGCGACUUAGACAACUGAAACGAGUCGAAAUCGUCGACAAGUGGUACCUUUUUAUGUCGAAGUCGAUCUACAUCUUUCUGUGUAAUAUUUAUUUUGCACGGAUUUGUUACAUUUUGAUCGACCAGUACAAUGUUAGUUACAUGCAACUGGGGUACACUGCGGCGAUCGAGAACAUGGUGAUAUGUGCAUGUUCUAUAAUAGUACCAUUCGUAACCGAAAGGUACGACGAUAAAAGAGAACUUCUGCUGCAUAGUAUGUUCGUUAGUGGGAUUUUACUAGCAGGGUUCUACUCUGCUCCCAGCUAUGGGUGUUCUAUAGUCGCUUUCAUGUGUCUAACUUUCUUCUGUACCAUGAUUAAUGGUAUGUUGCACGACGACGUGCUCAACUUCAGGUAUGAAGAUGAACUGGAAGAAGUGUCUGAAACUGUGACGGUGUUAAUUAACCUCUUCGCGCCGAUCUUCGCCGGAAUCAUCAACGACUUGCUGGGGGAAAAUAUUCUAGAUCUGGUAGCGGCGAUCACGCUAUGUGGCUACAUGUACGUGAUCAUCAGAAGUCUCUUCGAACUAGAGACCGCAAAUGAAACAGAAGAAGAAAAUAACUAGAAUCACUCUUAAAAGUAACCCGUGAUAAUAAAAAUCUAAAACCUAGAUGUGUUUUUUCUUAAAACAGUCAAGCUUUCUGUCGUCGUGUUUGACAGUUUAGACACUGUCACCAGUUUGAACCACACCCGUGGUUUGAACUGAUCAUGAUCCGCAAAAUUCGCAGCAAGAUGAGCCAAACAUUUCCUCACACCUUUUUCUGAACGAUGCGACCGACUAACGCCCAGUUGCUCCUACUCGUCAACUUUCUUCUGCCGGGAUCGUGGUUCCCGUUUUCUCGAAACAAAUUCUACGCAAUGGAGGAAACUAUAUUGUCAUCGGGUCCGUGCAAUCGGUGG